rnacentral:rRNA from 1 species
CCUGGCUCAGGAUGAACGCUAACUACAGGCUUAACACAUGCAAGUCGAGGGGCAGCAUGGUCUUAGCUUGCUAAGGCCGAUGGCGACCGGCGCACGGGUGAGUAACACGUAUCCAACCUGCCGUCUACUCUUGGACAGCCUUCUGAAAGGAAGAUUAAUACAAGAUGGCAUCAUGAGUCCGCAUGUUCACAUGAUUAAAGGUAUUCCGGUAGACGAUGGGGAUGCGUUCCAUUAGAUAGUAGGCGGGGUAACGGCCCACCUAGUCUUCGAUGGAUAGGGGUUCUGAGAGGAAGGUCCCCCACAUUGGAACUGAGACACGGUCCAAACUCCUACGGGAGGCAGCAGUGAGGAAUAUUGGUCAAUGGGCGAGAGCCUGAACCAGCCAAGUAGCGUGAAGGAUGACUGCCCUAUGGGUUGUAAACUUCUUUUAUAAAGGAAUAAAGUCGGGUAUGGAUACCCGUUUGCAUGUACUUUAUGAAUAAGGAUCGGCUAACUCCGUGCCAGCAGCCGCGGUAAUACGGAGGAUCCGAGCGUUAUCCGGAUUUAUUGGGUUUAAAGGGAGCGUAGAUGGAUGUUUAAGUCAGUUGUGAAAGUUUGCGGCUCAACCGUAAAAUUGCAGUUGAUACUGGAUAUCUUGAGUGCAGUUGAGGCAGGCGGAAUUCGUGGUGUAGCGGUGAAAUGCUUAGAUAUCACGAAGAACUCCGAUUGCGAAGGCAGCCUGCUAAGCUGCAACUGACAUUGAGGCUCGAAAGUGUGGGUAUCAAACAGGAUUAGAUACCCUGGUAGUCCACACGGUAAACGAUGAAUACUCGCUGUUUGCGAUAUACUGCAAGCGGCCAAGCGAAAGCGUUAAGUAUUCCACCUGGGGAGUACGCCGGCAACGGUGAAACUCAAAGGAAUUGACGGGGGCCCGCACAAGCGGAGGAACAUGUGGUUUAAUUCGAUGAUACGCGAGGAACCUUACCCGGGCUUAAAUUGCAGAUGAAUUACGGUGAAAGCCGUAAGCCGCAAGGCAUCUGUGAAGGUGCUGCAUGGUUGUCGUCAGCUCGUGCCGUGAGGUGUCGGCUUAAGUGCCAUAACGAGCGCAACCCUUGUUGUCAGUUACUAACAGGUUCCGCUGAGGACUCUGACAAGACUGCCAUCGUAAGAUGUGAGGAAGGUGGGGAUGACGUCAAAUCAGCACGGCCCUUACGUCCGGGGCUACACACGUGUUACAAUGGGGGGUACAGAGGGCCGCUACCACGCGAGUGGAUGCCAAUCCCCAAAACCUCUCUCAGUUCGGACUGGAGUCUGCAACCCGACUCCACGAAGCUGGAUUCGCUAGUAAUCGCGCAUCAGCCACGGCGCGGUGAAUACGUUCCCGGGCCUUGUACACACCGCC